UAGGAGAGUCCUAAUUGAGAGGGACAUUCUGUUAGGACUCUAGCUAGGAGAGUCCUAAUUGAGAGGGACACUCUGUUAGGACUAACUAGGAGAGUCCUAAUUGAAAGGGACAUUCUGUUAGGAGGUUUUUUCUUAGAGAAGAAUUAGGAGUUGUAAGGGAAUAGGAGUCUUGAGUAUGAGUCAUAUUAGGAGUUGGUUAGAAGUAAGAGUCUUAAGUAGGAGUCCUAUUAGGAGUUAGGGUUUAGAAGCCCUAUAAAUAGC
rnacentral:lncRNA from 1 species